GACGAACGCUGGCGGCGUGCUUAACACAUGCAAGUCGAACGGAAAGGCCCUGCUUUUGUGGGGUGCUCGAGUGGCGAACGGGUGAGUAACACGUGAGUAACCUGCCCUUGACUUUGGGAUAACUUCAGGAAACUGGGGCUAAUACCGGAUAGGAGCUCCUGCUGCAUGGUGGGGGUUGGAAAGUUUCGGCGGUUGGGGAUGGACUCGCGGCUUAUCAGCUUGUUGGUGGGGUAGUGGCUUACCAAGGCUUGGACGGGUAGCCGGCCUGGGAGGGUGACCGGCCACAUUGGGACUGAGAUACGGCCCAGACUCCUACGGGAGGCAGCAGUGGGGAAUAUUGCACAAUGGGCGGAAGCCUGAUGCAGCAACGCCGCGUGCGGGAUGACGGCCUUCGGGUUGUAAACCGCUUUCGCCUGUGACGAAGCGUGAGUGACGGUAAUGGGUAAAGAAGCACCGGCUAACUACGUG
rnacentral:rRNA from 1 species